AUUUUUAUGAUGAGAUCUUUAGAUAGGGACAACUGAAGUCUAUGCUGAUUUAUCUUGAUAGUAGAACUGAUUAUU